CAAAAAUGGUUGAGGUGCAAAGAUAAAAUUUGUUUGUUGUAUCGAUUUGAAGUUCGCGAUCGACAAGACAAUUAUUUGUGAAAAAGAAAAGAGAAUAAAAUUUUAUUAAAAAAACAGUGAAUAAUAGUAUGUAUGAGAUAAAAGGCUUGUGUCCACAUUCAGGUGGAUGUUUAUUUAUUAUUGGGGUACCUGCGUCCACGCUCGCGCUUGUACUGGCCACCGUACUUGCAGCGGUUCGCGGCAAGCUCCGUGAUCUCAGGGAUCCAGCUGGCAAACACCGCCUACACCCACAAUAAUCCGUUGCCUUUUCUGUGAUUACACGUGAUAACCAUUUAGUAAAUGUCAAAAACUAUCGUAAAGCUUUAAAAUCAUCGGAGAGAUUGUUCCUUUCAAUUCAGAAGAGAAAAAAGAUGAAAGACUUUGAGAUUGAUGGAUGUAAUAUUUGAAUACCUCUUUCCGUGUUCCCGCUUGUACUCGCCGCUGUAUUUGGACCUACUGCCUACGAGCUCUAUUAUCUCAGAUGUCCUCAAGAGUCAAAAUCACCCGGGCUACCCACGCGCUUUUUUUUGAGGCGCCCACUUCAAGUGACCAUAAUAAUAAUAAAACAAUAUUUUCAUGAUAUCAGCAUCAAAACUUGAAGUUUCAGUGUCUCUACAGCCCGUCAAAACAAGCUAAUUUCAAGCCGAUGCUACAAACAACUGCUAGCGAAUUCGUAAUUCAAAAGCAUCUUUAUACAGUGGGCAGAAACAUGCGUGUUUCUUCUCUUGGGAAGAAACAAUUGUUUCUGCCCGAUGUCAAUUAUAUUUAAUCUUCAUUUGCAGCCUUAUUACUCUCAUUUGUUUACUUUUCACUUCAGUUAACUCAUUUCAUUUUUUAAGUGACAAUUUUAAUUAACCAAAUAAAGUUAAUAAAAAAUCAGUGAAAAUAAUAUUUUUGUCUUAUUUACUCUUUAAUAAGUGACUGUAAAUCACAUAUUUCUCAUUCUCUAACAGUCCUCCGCAUCAUCGGCUUGAAAUUAACUUGUUUCUUACUGGCUGCUGAUACAAUCUUAAAGUUCCGAUGCAGGUAAUCAUGAAAAAUAUAGUGUGUGACUCAGGAUAAAAUACGAUUUCAGACUGCGGGUGAUGUCAGCCCUCGCCUGUGGCUCGGGCAGCUAACCUCACCCUAGUCUGAAAUCGUCUUGUUUCAUCACUU